GACGAACGCUGGCGGCGUGCCUAAUACAUGCAAGUAGAACGCACAGUUUAUACCGUAGCUUGCUACACCAUAGACUGUGAGUUGCGAACGGGUGAGUAACGCGUAGGUAACCUGCCUGGUAGCGGGGGAUAACUAUUGGAAACGAUAGCUAAUACCGCAUAAUAUUAAUUAUUGCAUGAUAAUUAAUUGAAAGGUGCAAUUGCACCACUACCAGAUGGCCCUGCGUUGUAUUAGCUAGUAGGUGAGGUAACGGCUCACCUAGGCGACGGUACAUAGCCGACCUGAGAGGGUGAUCGGCCACACUGGGACUGGGACACGGCCCAGACUCCUACGGGAGGCAGCAGUAGGGAAUCUUCGGCAAUGGACCAAAGUCUGGCCGAGCAACGCCGCGGGGGGGAAUGAGGGUUUCGGAUCGGAAAGCUCUGUUGAAAGGGAAGAACGGGUGUUAGAGUUGAAAGUUCACACUGUGACGGUAUCUUACCAGAAAGGGACGGCUAACUACGUG
rnacentral:rRNA from 1 species